UACGUAGGCAGCGAGCGUUGUUCGGAGUUACUGGGCGUAAAGCGUGCGUAGGCGGUUGUCUAAGUUUGGUGUGAAAUCUCCCGGCUUAACUGGGAGGGUGCGCCGAAAGCUGGGUGACUGGAGUGUCGGAGAGGUAAGCGGAAUUCCUGGUGUAGCGGUGAAAUGCGUAGAGAUCAGGAGGAACACCUGUGGUGUAGACAGCUUACUGGACGAUAACUGACGCUGAGGCACGAAAGCGUGGGUAGCAAACAGG
rnacentral:rRNA from 1 species